AGGAGAGUCAAGUCCAAGUGCUUUCUUCAAAUAUGAAAGAGGGUGCAGAAGGUCAAAAGAAGACUGAUGCUCUGAUGCACUGAAAUACCAUCUACGUCCUAUAUGGAGCGCUACUAGAGUUCUAGUCCUGGCCUUCUUCAUAAAGUUAUAGAAAUUGUAGCAUUUGCAAUUGGAUUACCCUGAAGAUCUCUAACAAAUCCCUUCACUCCCCGAUGUAUCUAGAAAAGC